UACGUAGGGAGCGAGCGUUGUCCGGAUUUAUUGGGCGUAAAGAGCGUGUGGGCGGCCAGAUAGGUCCGUUGUGAAAACUCGAGGCUCAACCUCGAGACGCCGAUGGAAACCAUUUGGCUAGAGUCCGGAAGAGGAGAGUGGAAUUCCUGGUGUAGCGGUGAAAUGCGCAGAUAUCAGGAAGAACACCCGUGGCUAAGGCGGCUCUCUAGUACGGUACUGACGCUGAGACGCGAAGCGUGGGGAGCGAACAGG
rnacentral:rRNA from 1 species